UUAUCAGUUGUUUGGGCUAAUUUUAUUUCAUUUUUUCACUAUUUGCACCCUUCUUUCUUUGCAUCGUAAAUACAAAAUAUUGACAACUAUUUAUGUAAAAUACUGCUCUUUUUGAGUCAGGAAAUCUGCUCCCUAUGAGGAAAGCCAUAAAGUUGCUGUCAGUGCUGUCGCUCCAGUUGCAACUGUCCAGCGGUUGUAAGACACUGCAUCUGGCUCUACUUAUCUUUUUAGUAGAUUACACUAAAGUGAAUCCUUAAGGCUAAACCCUCUAAUUUACUGAAACACAUGCACAUAAAAUUACAGCUGUCUCGCAAAAGCUUUCAUUGAAUUGAACAGAGCUGGGAUUCAUUUAAGUGGUUAUAAAACUUAGAUAAGCAAACUUCUUUCAAAACCAGCAGGAAAAAAAAAAAACGCAACAGCAAAAUACCAAAACCCAAACACCCCCAGCCUGCCAAACAGAGCUAAUUACUGGUUUAUUGAUUGGCACCUUAUUCUUCACCUCUGUGUCCGCUGACACCAUUUCUCCUGCGUUCCUUGGCUCCAUGUGCACGUUGGUCCCACACAGAGGGAAGAAUUUGGCAGGAAAAUAGGGCGUUUGUUGAGGUAAAAACACAGUUUUGCUCUCAAAAGCAAAUACGUGUAUUGUGUAAUGUUCAUCUCUCUGAAAGUCAACUGCCUAAAAUUUGGACAUCUGAAGGCAAGGCAGUCCCAGAUUGUCUGCUAAGGACAAAGAGAACCUAGAGAAAAAGAAAGAUGAUUAUUUUCAGGCAUCUUAAAUCAUCUAAAGCUGUAGGACGUACCGUACCCUUCUGUGCACCUCUGGGGACCAAUGUAAAACACUGCGGAGAUGGGGAGUGAGUUUCCUGUAGAGACUCAGACAGAUGUGCCCAGCUGUCCUCCCAGGGCUGUUUCAUAGUGCCGGCCUCACCCUGUUGCGUUGCCCAGCUCAGGGCAUUCAUUGCACCUCUGAAGUUGGUUACAUGACAGUAAUUUCAUCACUGUAAGACAGCUUGGGGUGUUUCAAAACAGCCCUUAGGGCUUUGCUCUGAACUUUGUUGUCUGCAUCAGAAGUGUUUGAGAAAGCCACUGAAAUCGCAGAGAGAAAAUGCAUCUAUUGGUUUUCUACAGAGAUGGUAACGUGUUGGCAGAAGGUGGUGCUGUUACCUGAUGUUGCCGCAGAUAACUGCCAUGUCAUGGAACAAAACCCAUGACUUGAAAAAAGGUAUUUUCUUCCCACAGCCAUAGGUGUGCUAUAUAAAUAGAUACAGAUGAGGUUUCCCAGUCCCUGAGAUAUAAUGAAGUGUUCUUCGUUAGAAGUCAGGCACCCGGGCCAACAUUUCUUCCAACAGAAAGCAGGAUAUUGGGUGAAUAGUGCUCGCAGAGAAAUAAUUGCCACUGCAUGAUGGCUUUCCAAUGGGGUGGCCGAUUUCACCCAGAAGCACAGGGUCCCAUGGGCUGGGUGUCAUAACAGCAGAAAGCAAAAGAUGUGUGAUAUAAGGGACGGCUGGAAGUUCCAGAAUGCCUUUUGAGAGCCGCAUGCCUUCACACCCAGAGGUCAGGAGAGAGAACCCAGAGGGAGGUUUGGUUUGGAAAAAGCUCUUCUGAUUUCUAUCUUCUGCGAGCUUAACGCGGUCAGGUGGCACGUUGUGCUGGGUUGGGUGUAUGGAGCAAUUCACAUGUGUGGCACACAUCACUUCGGGGCUCUUCAGAAACAUCUCACAUCCUAUUGACAAGGGGACAAUCUGUAGCUAAUGAUACACUGAUAACGAGGCUCAUUCUGAGCCUGUAGAAUACAUACAGAUUGUAUUUGCAGGCUUUGUGUUAUCAUCAUAAAAGCCAGAAACUUCUCUUGUGUUUAAUGAAAGAUGAAUGAUUUUUGCCUAUUUCUGUGCCUGUAGAAAGCCCAGUGGAGGUUGUGGUUAUGAUUUAUGGCAUUGGAGCAGAACGUGUGUGCAAAUAGAAAUCAUUGUGUUGUUUCCUAUAAUUCAGUGUUGAUUCCUAUAACUCAUGUUAACUAAGGGAUUAGAAGUUGUGUCAAUUCAAAGCUUUAUCUAUUUCUGGGUUAGAACUUGGGCUGCUGGCAACCCUGUGCUGUUACCGUACUUGGACCCAACUGAAAGUUCCUGAUUCAGAAAAUGUUUGAACUGGUGAAAGCUCCUGAAUUGUCUGACUGGUGUGUAUCAGCUGAGGUAUCAACCUGUGUUCCAGAGUGCUGUGAUGAGUUUUUAUAUUCAAGAGGUCUGGAGUAUCCAGAUAUACAUCAGUGAGGGGGGGGGGGGGGGGAAUAGUCCAGGGCAUGCAAUAGAUGCAUCAGGAUUUGUGCUCUCUGCUGAAUUGCCUCAGCAUGGAGAGCAGCAGUGCAUCUGGAAGGGCUGGAAAUACGUGUGUAUAUGGUACAGAGGGGGUUGUGAUACUGCGGCGUUCACAGCUGGGCAGCAUGGGCUCUGAAUUUCAGAGAUUAAUUUGCACAGUUGCAUUUUGGGCCAUAUUUUCAAACUUGAGAAAGCUCAGCUUGGAUUCUGUUGUUACAACAGCUUUGUGGAGGGACACAUAGCCCACGAGUACCUGAAUUUAGGUCUGGGGGGUGCCCAGCUCUCAGGAUCAGGCUUUUAGAGACCAGGCACCACGCCAUCCCAUCAGAGGAAAGAGACAGAACUGGUCAGAUGGCGUUUAAGAUACAAUUCAGUCUGAGAGCUAAAGGCUCUUGCAGGAUUUUCAGACCUUGAACAUAAGGCUUCUUUUUUUUUUCCAAUUGGAUUUCACGGUUGAAACGUGGUGUAAGAAUUGCGAGGCUAGGGAGCAAAUAGCUUUUUAUGGAGAUUUGAAUUACAUUUUACACUUGAAAAAUCAGUCUAAGCAGUGAGUGGAAGGGCCUGGCGCCCUGUCUGCGCCCCAGUCCUGCUGCUGGCAGCCUGCACAUGGAGCGCUGGGUGGGGAAGGGAAAGGGAGCGCCGUGGGGGGAUGGCUGCUUCAGCAUCUGAAGCCCUCCAUAGCAGCCACUGGCAGUUUGAGGGGACUGAGUGAUGGAUGGAGUGGUUGGCAGGCCGUGCCCAUGGCAGGUGUUGGAACUGGGUGCUCUUUGAGAUGCCCUCCACCAACCCAGGCUGUUCUGUGAGGUUAGCUUUCAUUUGCCCUCCAACAAGUGAUAGAGGGAGGAGGGGUGGUUGUUGCUUUCUGGAUGGCUGCCAUCAAUGCGGUAAGGUGUCAUUUGCUUGAGCUGAAGUCUCCUCUGCUGACAAAUACCACUGCCACUCCAGUAGAAUAUUUAAGGCCAUUGAUCCUUAGUAUUCAUCUGAUCAUGGUGACAUGGACCGUGUCCUCCUGUCUGUGAAAAUCCAGCAAUUCUCUGCAGGACUGCAGGUAGUCCUCAAAGCAUCUGCAGAGCUUCCCAUGGCGUGUGCUGAGAGGUGUAUCUUUGUUUGAUUCUGUGAUUAACAUCGACUGCACAGGUGAGCAAAAUCAGCUGCCAGACAGUUUGUGAAGAGUUCACAAGGUGAACUUCUGGUUAUCCUCUGAGUGUUGGUGGGGAACAGAAAGUGAGUCCGGUGGUGGUGUGAUCUGACCCUGUAACCGCUGCUACUCGGGUGGGUUCAGCUGGUGCCAUGGGAAGCGGUUAUUUGUCAGCCGCAGUCAUCUUUUGUUCACCUUUUUUUUUUUUUUUUUUUUGGUGUGAAUUGCUGAAAAGCAAACUUUUCCCACAACUAAUUGUAUUUGCUAAUUACCUGUGAAAAAGCAAUUAUCUCCCGGUGAUGCAAUUCUUUGGGAAGGCUUUUUUUUUUUUAAUUGGUAAAGAGGAGUCCCUUCUAUACAGGUUGUUUUCAGAAAGAAAGCUUUUCAAAUAUUGUAGCUGAUGUAUCACGUUGGACACAUCGGAUUGGGUCGCAUCAGCAGUGUUGCGUUACGUUACAUCACCGAGGUAAUGUGCUGUGACAGAUCUGCAAUGCAAUGUGUCAGCUGCAAAAUAGGGAAAGAUGUGAUUUCCCGAACAAAAUGCUCCUUAAGCUUUAUGGCAUUUUCCCCUCCUCCAAGUAAAGAAAUGGCUGUUUAGGUGUUGGGGUAUUUCUUAAAAGACUCAAUUAUGUUCAGAAGAAUUUGAAGCCGUUUUGUUGUUGCUAUUUCCUCUCUCAGUGGAUAAUUAUCUAAUCUGGAAAGAAAGAUAUCUUUGCUUCUUAUAUUUCCAUGACCACUUUACAAUUUAUCUGUGUCCCCGAACAUUCAGCAAACUGGAAGGCAGUUUCUAGGGGGAGGAAUUGAGCUGACACGGUGAGGCAUACAGGCAGGAGACCUGGCUGCCGUCCUGCUGGGAUGCCAGAGCAGGGGAGGGGGAAUGGAUGCACUUCAGCUGUAGCUUUGGAACUAGAGAGGACAGAGCAGCAGAAACAAAGGAAGUACACUUAAAACUGUUCGGCUCUUUAGGAAGGUGGGAGCAAUGGAAUCCAUGUGAAAACAAAAAUCCAAAUAUUUUGGGCACGACUUCGCCCUCUACAUUGUCAGAUACAAAGGGUAGUGUUGCUUCCUUUACUUUCUGUUUUAUUUAAAUCAUCCUUGGUGCUGAGCUACUCAGAGUUGUUCGAUAUUAACGUCCCCUCAGUCAUGCAUUGCGCUGCAGUCAAACCGAACCAUUAUACGGACAGUUUGUGAACAGGGAAGUGCUGUGCGCUGAUGGUGAAGAUACCGUCACCGAGCUGAGGAGGUUAACAGCCCCAAAUCGCUUUGAUAUUUGUACAUACUCAGAAGGGAUUGAGAUGUUUGCUCUCAUUUUAGUGAGCUCUUGUGAUUCAGUACAUUUGGCACUUCAGGGUUCAGAAUAGCCACUUGUUUCCUACAAAGCAAUGCCCUCAACUUCGUUACUAUUUGGUUGCUCGUUAUGGUCCCAUUUAGAUCUUUCUAUUGCUGUGCAAAUAUGCCUUCGUUUCACAGUAACUUGCCUAAUGCUGCUUUGUUUGGCAUUCUUUGUUGCAAGGAUCAGGGUUCUGGUGCACUCAGAAAGAAACCAGCUAAGUAAAUCUGUAAUAGCAUCGCUGUUUAAACAGCGCCUUGGAUCACUGCAAGUAAAAUUAGAAACGUUGGUUAUGUACCUAUGGAUGCCUUUCAUUUUCAGUUCAAUAGUUUUCUUACAAAGGGCAGCAGUUGCGUGGGAAACAUUUACUUACCGUUUUUUGCUUGCUUUGAUUUAGCACUUAAGGACAAUACCGAGAUUUUACAGCCUGUCCUGAGCGAGGUGAAGUGCAUAAUUGCUGUGCCCUGGGAACAGCCUGGGAAAUGAAUGAUGGGUGGGCAAUUGCUAAUUUUUCCCUGCCAACCUCCACUUCUGCUCGCUCUAAGCAGGUGUUAAGAACGCUAAGAACAAAGGUAUUAAAAAGGUAUUGAGGCGCCUCAAAUUCAAACAUUCUUACAUUUCUUUCAGCAAUAAGCAAAAUAGGCCUCCCAUGUUCCUUGAAAAUGAGAGCUGUAUGUCAGUUCACCUUCAGACCUCUGCAAAAAGUGUUAUGUGCCCUAUUGUACCCACCAGUUACUCCAGCCAUGCUGUUAACCCAGACCCCAUUUCUUCAGUCCACCCCAGGCUCCAGACCCUCCGUGUCUUGGCAGUACGGGGCCAUUCCCACCCCGCACUGAUGUCUGGUUGGAGGAUACCUUGUCAGAGCCAGGCUCCACAGAUGCCUUUGUAGUCUGAUGUGAAAUGCAUCCCAUGCUCUCUACCAGCUGCAUGGGAAGCCCCCCGAGACGAGGCCAGAAGUGGAUGUUUCCAGUCUGGCAGCCAGCAUGCACAUGUAAACCAUGCUUUAAAUGAAGGGGCAGUCUUGGUGCUUCUGCCACUUGUUUCCAUCAAAACACUGAUGGAAACAAAUAUUAUUGAGCUCCCAUAUUAUGUACAUUGUGCUGUUCUUUUAUUGAUCUGAGCAAUCUUUAAGCCAACUAUUAACCUUGCUCUCUAUAUACAGGCUGGUAUUAGCUGUCACUAACCCUUAUUCUGCAUUCUGAACCCCUACUCUAAGCCUUUUCUUUAAACCUGUUAUUAAGUCUGCCUUUCAUGUCUAAACCUGGUGCAGUAGUGCAAUUAAUUGCUUUACUUAACAUGCAAGGUUAUAAGUGAUCUCUGUGAUUCCACUGACGUUAAAGAAAUAAAUGGAGCUAAACUGAUUCUCAUUGCAAGGUGAUCUUUACACAGUCUUUGGUUGGUGGAACCAGCAGCAGAUGUGUAUUGCAGAAUUAAUGUUAAGAGUUGCAACUGCCACUGCUACACAACAGCAGGAUACUACAGAAGGAUCUGCACAAGUCUUGUGCUUCGUUUUAUACUUUGAAAGAACUCCCUCAGUCCCACAGCCAGCAGCUCCUUUUGCGCUCUUCUUUUCCUUCUGGUUAUAAACACAGUGUCUGCUUUUCCUGUUGUGUACUGGAACGUAGAAAAGUUUCCAGCGACUGCUCACAAUGAGCAAGAGGUACUUUUCCUACUGCAGUGGGAAGAGUACCACAGUUGUUUAGUUCUGGGGUCUCAGCCUUUUCUGCUGAUGAAUUCAUAGAGGAACAUGUGUUCGGAUGUUUUGUUGGCUCAAAUCAGGCUUGUCUCACGCUGAGACUGAGAGAAGUCAUGCGAUGGCUUGGGAGUAGAAGUAGGGAACAUGGUGAUACUUGUUGGUAAGUGCCUGAUGCGGUAGCAUCCCUGCCCAGAAAGGCAUUGCUCUGUGAAAGCAAAGCAGGUAAAGAAGGAAGGCAGGUAGUUCUGUGGAAGGCAGGUAGUUCUGUUCUUCGCUCAGCGAGCGGUAAAAUUGCACACGAUUUUUAGAAAAGACCCGCAGUGACCCAGGAAAGCAGCUGACUAACAAACAAGUGAGGUUUCUGCAGGAGCUUUAGGGGUGAAGGUAAGGUUCGCUUCUGGCUAGAUAUAUAGAUGUGAUCAAUAGGUAUGCCAGAACAGAGCAGAGAGGUUCAAAAAGCUUGGGGAUGAGGCUGAAUUCCAGGGUUUGGGGGCACAUGCCACAUCCAAGUGAAGCUUGUAAUAGCAAUGCCAAGAGCAGGAUGGAAAUGCACUCCAUCUACUACUUCAGGAAGAUGGUGUUCUUUUGCAGUUCUGCAAUAGGCACACAGGAAAGCAGCAGAAGACUCCAGCAGACAGAAUAGCUGCUGAUGAAGCUGCAAGAAACCACCUUUAGAGAAGCAAGACUGAGAUGUGCAAAGAAACGUCCCUAGGUGGGGAAAAGAGGAUGAAGAGAUUAGAGAAAAUGGAAAGUGUCCACCAGGGUUGGAAAUACUAACGUGAAGAACAGAGCACAGCAGUGCUCUCUCCUCGGAGAGGUCGCUGUAGAUUUGCAUUGCUAAUUUGCUUGCUUGAAAGUUCUCCCUGGCCUCUAGGGAGGAGAGGCAGAUGUAUUCUCGCAGGGCAAGGCAAUAAGCGUUUGUGUAAUUUUACCUCUGCGUCCUGAGCUGCGGAGGUACUGGGGGUGAAGCCGUAGGGCUCCUAAACAGAAAACACCCAACUUAACUGCAAAGAGAGCUCGUUUCCAACCAUUGUAGCUUCGUUAAGUGGCACAUCAGUGGGAGGGCAAAAUAACAGUUGCUUUAGGCCCAGAGAAGCUUUUGCGUUGCUGCUACCCCAAUUAUUCCUUUUUUACACGUGCUCAGCAAUCUCUUGCUACUGUAAUUACAGCGCCAAACACUGCAGCUAUUAGAUACAGUCACUAGGCUUUUAACAAGCCAUCAUUACUUGCACUCAGAAUCUUACAAUUUAAAAACAAUGUCUUUGAGAACGGUGUAACCUAUUUCUCCUUUACAAUAACUGCACACAUUUGUGCAUGGACGUGCUGCUGGUUGCAGCCGUGAGCUUUGCUAAGGACCAGCAAAGAAGCCAGGCAUAGAGCUGUAGAAUUAUGAUCCUGACUCAUAUAUUCUGGUGAAGUUGUUAAUAACAUCUCAACAUUGAGAAGAUAAUUGCCAAAUAAGAGAGCAGUAAAUAUCUGCAGCCCUUGCGGUCUUAUGUUGAUGUCAGAAUAGUGAUGUAUCGUCUGUUUGGAAACCCAGAGAAGUGAGGGAGGCAGGUGGACAGGAUCUGACUUUUCCCAGCCCCCCUCUGGCCAUUUCUUUCCUGUGCUCUUUGCUCUCGAAGUACCGCUGAAUACUAAAAAGAGGCGGUGUUGUGCACAGCCGGGAGAGCAGGAGUGCGGAGGGCAGGGUGACCUGCUGAGCCCAUGGCUUUCUGUGCUAACCACAGGUGGUCAGGCAGAGCAGGCAUUUAAAAACUCAUCCAUCUCUUGUCUUACUGUCUUGGAAUUUACAUAAUUAAAAGUGAAUUGCUUGCUGUAUUUUAAUAUAUGCAGUGAAAAUGCAUGAAAAGCUGAAGAAUUACAGCAAUCCAGUAAUUCAUGUCAUGUUCCAUUCAGAAUUACAGCUUUCCAGCGCCAGCUCAAACACCGAGGAAUCCCUGCCACCAUAAAGCUAUAAUUGCUGAAUUAAUAACAGCGGGUUCUGGAGAGUGACUGCACAGACUCUCUGACCCAGGUAAUAGAAACACUCAUGUUAAAGUGAAGUUGAUACAUUUGACUUAAUCUAUGCAAUAUCAGUCUCCAGUAGUAAAGAUCACUGCUUUUCCAUCCCGUAAGAAAGCUGUGGUGAGGUGGUACCCUUCUGCUUUAGCUUGAGCUACCUGCAUCUGUUAGCCCCCGUGAACUAGAAAUUACAUUUUCAGGGAUCAGUCAGAUUGCAUUUCUUUCUACCAGGGGAUUUGUUACCCCAGUCUGUCUGCCUAGAACUGCUGGGAGGUGAGUUCCCAUCCAGCUGCAGAGGGGUGGGGAACAGGAUGUCGAGGGAGAUGGUGAAAGGCUUCUGCUAACACCUCAUUGCUCCAGAAUGUAUUAACAACUAAAAAAAUACAAUCCCUCCCCCUCUCUUCUAACUCAGGAAGAAAUUCUGCAGUUGGUGCUUUGCCAAAUUCUGUGCCUCGUGGCCCCCACAGAUAUGAUGCUCCUCAAAACUGGGAUAAAAGGAUGCUGUUUAAACAGGAUAAUAGGAAUUUAACCAAAAUGACUUGAUCUGAAUGAGGAGCCAUUUUUCUUUAUUUUUAUAGUUUAUUUUUAAAUAAGAAUGUCCCUAGGUAUUAGAAGGGCCUGGUAAUCCAUUUACCAUGACUUCCUUAGGUUUGGUCCUUGAAUGGACCAUAUGCUACUCUACGUUUAUCUGAGUAGGAUUUGUGAUUCUUGGUAACCUUUGUAGGCUGACUCAAGUCAUUAGGGACAAAUUGCCCAUGUCAACGGAUCUGAUUGUAUCAUGGAAUUGAUGUAGUGCACAGCUACUCAUGUUGCAAAGUGCAGCUGCAGCAAAAGCCAAAGCGUGUGACCACUGAGAUGUUGGACUUCUCUAAGCUCAGGGCAAUGUCCUGUGCUGGGGCUCUUAGCAGCAGCCUCCCCAAGGUUGUGUAUACAUUGUGGAUAAAAAGAAUUGGCAGUUUUCAGGGCUGGCAAUCUGGUUCUUUUUCUAAGAGUUAUCAUCAUUAAUUAAAAUCUCUCUCUUUUUUUUUUUUGUCUGUCUAAGUAUUUCAGCUCUAAUUCUCUUGCAGGUUCAUAAAUAGUAACAUCCCUUUGUCCUGGGAAAAGUUCUUAUCUUUUGUUUCUCUUUGUCAUUCCCCUCAAUCUCUGUCCUCUUGAGGCUGAAGGUAAGUAAAAUUCCUGCUAUGAUGUUGUGGUUGUGGGCCUGUUCCUUUGUUCCUUCGGUCACCCCGUCACCCCAUCCCUGCUUUGGUAUCCACAGUCCUACCUGGAACAGCAUAACGAUGACCCACAUGGUUCUGUUUCACUUGGCCUGUGCUCUUCCCCUCUGUGCAUAGUUUCCCUUUGGACUUCCUUAGCAGAUCCUCUGCAGCAAGCAGGUGUUUCUCCACUUUUCCAGUCUGUGAACUUGAAGUUAAAUUCAAAAAUAAUUCAUCAUUUUAUAAAUAAGUUAUAUAAGCUGUCACCACAAAUCUGUCACUGCACAGACAGGUGCCAACAUGCACCGUAUGCAAGACGGUAACAACACCAGGAUUGGAAUAAAGGAUGUCUAAAAGCAAUUACAUUUCCAGAUAUUAGGCAAACACAAUUAUUUAAACUGCUAGUCAAAACCAGUUGAUAAAAUAGAUAAUUAAAAAAGAUUGACCCAAAAGCUGAUGUUAAAUUAUUCUGUAAUGUGCACAUAACUCAAAUAAUUGCUCUCUCAUAACCCAGCCUCUAUUAAAGGGAAAUUUUACCUAGGAAAAAAAUUACAUAUUCAGUACACGGUGAUUAAAAUAAAUAUACAUUCUCUCAAAUGCUGGAGAUGAUGUGAGAAACUGUAUUAAAAAGUGGGAAUGCAUUCGGCCUGCAUUGCAAACAGUAGUGUGGUCUGUCAUUGUAAUAAAUCAUACUCAAUAGGCAUUGAAACAGAAAGUAUGACACUGCAGUAAAUCCAAAUCAGCCUCAGACCACAGUAGUGGUAGGUGACCUAUUGUGUGUGGGUAUAGAACUAAGCGGGACAGGAUGGAGUCCUGAGGAAGGAGCUAUUUUAGUAGUUCAAUUUAGACAUUAAAGUCUUGGGAUAGGACAUCAAAACCCCUAAUCUGGAGUUUGAAUCCAAUAUUUAAUACAGUUUACACCCACUUCAUCUAUGCAUGAGUUUCCACCUAAAACAAUAUCCAAGCUCCUUUUGACACCUAAUGAAGGGACAAAUCAGUUGUUCUUCAGACCUCAUUUUUUGUGCUGCUUACCUGGUGGUGAUGCAGGACUGACUUCAGUACUCGCACUGUCAAAAGCGGGAUCAGCCCAAUGUGCUUUAGCUGGGGGGGACACACAGGGAUGCUCUCCUUAGUGCAUCUGUCUGUAUGAAGCUGUCCUGUGCUCUCAUCUUUGAAACAGCAGACUUGAGAAACAUGAAGACUUCAUCUAUGAGCGCACAGCAUUACUCCAUAAAUGGUAUGGGAACUGAUUAACCCAUCAAUCUCUAUUAUUCAACUACUGCAAAUGAGACACGUGCUCCCUUGGGGAUUUACCUGGAGUAAAAUCAAGAAGAAAAUGCUUUCUCCCUUCCCAGCUUGAAAGUUCAAAAUUUGUUUGGACCGGUGAUGCUGCAAAUAAAUAAAAGAAAGAAUGACCUGAAUUACUUGAGCAAUCCCCUGGGACUGAGGCAGGAAGCGUUUGAAACAUGAAAAGUUGCACCCGUGUUCAAACGAGAGAGGCCCUAGUUAAUUAUUUACAGCAGCUGAAAGCUCAUCAAAAAUUUAACCAAGAUUUAUUUCUCUGUGACUCUGCAGGCACCACAAUAUGCAGCAGUGGAGGCUUCAGCUGCCUUCAGUGAAGCUCCUGAGUUUUCACCUCCCGGCUUGUCGGUGCUGGCUCAGUGCUUGCAGUGAAUCCUUUCCUCCUAUCUGUCAGCGAUGCACACUAGUAGGGUGGAUUCCAAUUGCAUGCAAAUAAAUAGCAUGCAGCAUCUGAACUGCUGCUGGGAGGCUCUGUGGUGGCCCUCAACAGCCUUCAGCUGUGGCAAGGCUGUGACCCGUCACUGUCAGUAGAUGAUAUCAAAUACAAACCUACCUGCGGCUUAGCUCUGCUCCUCUCCCAUCUACAGGUAAUGGGCCCUUCCAUUUUGUGCACGCUGACUGAGUGAAGGCUGGGCCGUUGCCCCUUUGCUUUGAAGUCCACUGCAUUUGUGAUUUUUCUUUGAUCAUCGCUGUGGAAAAGCCUGAUAUGUUUUUCUCAGCAGUUCGUAUGCACACAAGCAUGAGAGCUGAGAACCUCAGUCAAGGUGAAACUUCUGAACUUAUCUUGAUUUUGUUAACAUUAAAUUAAUAUUAAAUAGGACCAAGUUAUGUUUUGCCUUGAGACUGAGGAGGGAACAAUACUGUUCUACUACUAUCCAUGUAUUCGAUACAUCAAAUGAUAGCAAAAGAGCUUCACCAGUGAGAGGAACAGGACCUAUAAACGACAGUUAGUACCUUAGGAUUCCUGAAGCUUGAGCUUCUUGCAGAGGUUUCCAUGAUGGCACUUCAUGACCAGUAUCUCAUAAGGUCCCUGAAAAAGAAAAGAAAGAAAUCAGGUAUUUUCUCACCAUCUCGCUAGAGGUAUCUAGAGAAAGGAACUGUACAAGGCUUUCAUUAGCAGCUGAAGUAUUACUGUAUAUUUGGAUCCAUUUGCUCAGUUCGUGAUAUAAUGGAGCACAACUGAUGUAAGUUGGCUUGAUGCGACCCCUUGUUACACAUACUGGAACAAUAUCUGCAGAAGCAUUUGAAAUUACACAUUUUUUCAGACAUCUAUUUUAAGGAUCAGUGACUUCAAACAAGCGGUGCAUUUGGGCAUAUUUUAAAGGCUUAUUUCCUGCAAUCAUGUGCAGGUCAUGGCUUAAUCCUCAUCAGAAAGAAGGCAUUUGGGAUUCUGAUUACUGCAGGGAGCAGUGAAAGAAGGAUACGCAUAGAAAGAACAGCAGCAGAGUUUUGAGACAGAGCCCGGGCUCUGACCAGUAAACCUUUGAUGAAAACUUCUGAGGGAGGUGUUUUUUUUUCCUUUAUAUUUUCUUUAACAUUUGAACGCAGCAACAGAAGAGGUGGGACAAAACGGAGUCUCUGAAGCGUUGGUUAGGUGAUGUUCUGGCACUGCAGUGAUGUGGGCACAGACCUGGAAAGAGCCAGCUGUCCUGGCAGGGAGCAGGCAGCCAACAGGAGGAGCAGCCGAAUCUAUUUCUUACUGUCACAGUACUUUGAAAAGUACUUUUCACACCGCUUUUAGAAACUAAAGUUUGUAAUGGCCAGGCAAGACUCUGAGUUAUUAGAAGAGAGAAGGAGCAGGGCAGCUUUGCUUGGCCAGAUGCAUAGCUGCUCUCAAGUGAGGGCUGGAGAAAGGCAGAGGGAAGUGUGACAGCUUUCCACAACAGAUAAGAGCUGGAUUCCAGCCCACUUCAAGCUAGGUAAGCAAAUAAUUACCCGUGAAUAAAUUAGGAAGAAAAAUGCUAAAUAUCCUUAUUAAUAGAGACCAUAUGCUUUUGGCAACUUCUUACCAGAAGGCUCUUAAAAGUAUGCAGUGACAUCCUAGAGUUCCCAGUCACGUUUCCUACACGCUGCUGACACACUCGCCUCAGAGAGGACAGAAUACUGAUUUAGUGUGUAUUUUAAAACCCUACAGCCUUACCAUCUGUGACUGCACGGGCAGAGCCUGUUUCUUCACCUCAAGCAUCCAAAAAUCAGACUGUAACUGUCUUCCCCUCCCACAGGUUUGUCUGAUGUCCCGAGCGCUGCCCGGGUGUUCCAGCGGCACCAACAGAGGCUGACUGAUGGGCUCCAGUUCAGACAUACGAAGGGUGGCAAGCAGAGGCAGCGUUCUGAGCAGACCGCAAGUCCCUCAGAACUGGAUGUCCUCAUCCCCAGGGCUGUCAGCCACACCGUGUCCUGUCCCUGCCGGCUGCACAGCAACAGUGGCGACACGGCUGCAUUGCUGGGGAGAUGGAAGCCCAACGUGUGUCAUCUCUGAGGCUGCUCGAGUUCCUCUUCAGCGCUUUGCAGGGGAAGACCAGAGAAAUAAUAAGGCUUUGUAUGAGUGAUAAGACUGUAUCGUGAUGGCUGUUCGCUUCCUAACAGAUGGGACAGAGAUGCAGGUAGGGUGGAGGGGCCACAAAGGCAACUGAUGGAGAAGUUUCUUUGGAGUCUGCUGUUCUUUUUUGCUUCAUUUAUAUUUCAUUAGGCAUGAAAUUACGUUUAUAAUUGUAUUAGACAACUGUGUGAGAUAUUAGAUCAUAAGCCUAGACUGAAUUAAAGCCAUUUUUAAUUAGUUAUUGAUUUAUUCUGUUUCGUCAUUUUUAAUGAAAUGAUGCCCCUGAAUUCAAAGCGCUGGUGCAGGUGUGUUAUCUUAAUUCAUAGAACUAGCACUCUGCUUACCUCCCAACCAACCAAGAGAAUGGAAGUGGCUGUUCUUCAGCACAGUUGUUGUAUCAGCCACUGAUGUGGGUCUGCACAAGGGGGGUGAAGGAAAGAGACACCGCACUCCAGAACAGACAAGAGGAGGGAGCCCUGGGCUGCAGGCACACUGCUGGGAGGAGACAGGGCUGAGCAAAACCCAGGGUAAGCUUUCAAAAAGAAAAAAAAAAAGAAAAAGAACAAGAAAGGGAAAGCAGGGGACAAUAUGCAGCUGUGGGAGCUGCGAGAUGCUGCGCUGCUGCUGGGACAGAGCAGAAGUCCAUUGCCCCGGGGAUGCUGCGCUGCAGCACCAAAAGCAGCGGCCACCGCACACUGCUGGGAUGCGGCUCAGCCCCAACAGCUGCAAGGACAGGGAGCAGCGCUGCAGCUCAGCGAAGCUGUGCUUUGUCUAUGCAUAGAAAUCAGAGCUAAGAGGUUUGGGGUUCUUUGUGGCUUUUUUCUGUUGUUGUUACCUGAAAUCCAUCAGGACCUCAGCUCCCUGUUAUACUUUUCUACUCCAUCCUGUGAUGUUAAUACAUACGCAGGGAUUCACUUGCACUUCAAAAGGACAUCUUCCCAUGGUGUAAGAGCCGCAGGAUGUUUCUCGAGGUGUUGCAGAGAUGGCUUUCACUUAGGAAAAAAAAACUAGAGGCUGCAUUCUGUAAGGCACUGCGGAGGCACGCGAGCACUUCCUCAGCUCACCUUCAAAAUACUUGCUUUUUUUAAUCACUUUCUGGCUCUCACACUCACUCUGCUAACGACUACGGAUCUCCAGCACUUUGAAACAAAGCUUUUCACCUUUCGGUACCUUCUCAGUCUGUGUGCCAACAGGCUCCUCGCUGGCAUUCAGCUCAGUCUCACACCCCAACAAAGAAAUAUUUGGAAACACGUUCGUUUUCACAUCCGAGCUCCCCAAAUGCCCAACAACUGACUCUUAUCCUUUCUCUUUUUUUUUGGCUUCUCCUUUCCUACUUCCUUUCCCCCCCAUAUGCAGCCGCCCACAUGGUUUCACUCACUGAAACAGCCCAUGGUGAAAUCAGACAAACACUUUGACUUUGCCCCCGGCCCCAGUGGUAGCCGUACCUCUGAAGCUGCCAUUCACCUCUAAUUACACGUCUGCUGAAAUCGUGCAGAGAAGGAACAGUGUAAGUCAUUAGUCCUCCUAAAUGAAUGUGCAGCUGAGUAGCUAACAAAGGGAUUAACACUUGACAGCAGAAGCGUUGCAAGCUGAAGGGGAGGGUCAUCGGGUGACUGCUUAUUACACAGAAAUAAUUGCCAUCCAAUGCUGAGAGAAACCGAUGGCUGCAGGCUGUGUUUACUGCAAAGAAAUGCAUUUUUUUCCCCUGUCUUUUCUUAUCCCUUCUGCUUAAUCUUCCUUUGCACAAAGCAGAGAGGAGACCCAUUGCUGGGCAGUGCAGGGCUGGAUUCCAUCCCACGCAGGAUGCCCAGGUGGGCAAGGUUUGGGUCUGGCUUUUUUUUCUUUUUUUCUUCUUCCUUCAAAGGACACAAGGUGGAAAAAAAACCCUUUUUAGUAUUUUUAGGAAAGAAAGCUACAAUUUCAGAGCAAGUUGGCUGAACUGUAAAACUUACCUGGGCUACAUAUAGAUGUACUUAGACACUCCCAGCCCAAUUGAAAGGCAGUGCAUUUUAGUACAAGCGUUUUACGCUACCAAAUGAUAGCUGAGAUGUAAAUACCACAGAGAUGCAUGAAAAGCACAGCAGCACUGGGGUGGUAUGGUACAAUGUGAAAAGGAUGUUUACAUCCAAACAUGACACGCACAGUUGAGCAUGAAUUCACAUUAGCUCAGCUUGCGCUUCAAACAUCUAUUUAUUAACACUGGGUGGAAACAACUAUUUUUCAGUAGCAGAGUUCAAGUAUCACAAAGGGUUUUUAAUGACUUCUAUAAAGCUUAGCACAGCUAUUAUUCCAAAGGCUUACCAUCUGAGCAGAGGUGAUGCUUAGGCUUUUCUAUGAUUUACCUCUUCUCCGGCAUUCUUUCUUUCUGGGUCUUCAGUGACAUGUCAGUUUUCCCUUGACGUGCCCUGCAGAGAGUUGCAAUGAGUGAAGCUGAAAACACAAACCACGUUUUUCCUCCUGACGUGUCACUAUUUCACUACUGUGCUGCAGCCCAAUGAGCCCAUGCACGACUGCAGCAUCCUGGGCGCACACAGCCAUGCACCGAGAGCUCCUUCCACCCAGCACAGUGGGACUCAUGCAUGCCACAGCUGCUCAUGAGCAGAGGCUGGAAGGAAGGCCACAGAAGAUGUGAAUAUGGGAAUAAAAGGAAAUUUAUGCAUGAGCCGAUGCGCAUCCCGCGGAGCAUUUUCCAUUCGUUGUGGGGUACUGCUUCCUCUUGUCUGAUUAAGUGACAUCUGGUUAGUGUAUCUGCCUGACUAUUUAGUUCUCUGCAUCACUCCGAGCACUGUAAUCUCUCUAAUUGGUGUAAAGAAUUUUUUCCCAAUAAGGCUAGAACGAAGCAGCUUCUCUGUCUAUGCUCCUUCAUGGUUGAUUUUGCUAUCAGCUUCAGAAAUCAUGCAGAAGGAGUUUGACUUUUUCCAUUCAUUCAGGAAUUACUACGUUUGCAGCCAUAGAAACAGUACUUAGGUCUAAAUACAAAGGAAAUAUAAUGCCCCGAUUAAUUUUCUGCAUCACUGAAAUGGAGCUUCUGUCAAAUGGGGGAGGCAGACGUUGCUGAUGCUGAGGAGCCAUCCCAGAACCAAGCCUGCAGCACUGCUUGGGAACAAAAGUUUCUGAUGAAAGAUCAGCCACUGUGCCCAAGCAGUGCUGAGAAUACCAACAAAGCUGUCACGAGACAAUACCUUGAUGGAACAUGGG
ensembl:lncRNA